CGGGUGAGUAAUGUCUGGGAAACUGCCUGAUGGAGGGGGAUAACUACUGGAAACGGUAGCUAAUACCGCAUAAUGUCGCAAGACCAAAGAGGGGGACCUUCGGGCCUCUUGCCAUCGGAUGUGCCCAGAUGGGAUUAGCUAGUAGGUGGGGUAAAGGCUCACCUAGGCGACGAUCCCUAGCUGGUCUGAGAGGAUGACCAGCCACACUGGAACUGAGACACGGUCCAG
rnacentral:rRNA from 1 species